AAGGCGCGCGAUACAGGGUGACAGCCCCGUACACAAAAGCGUAUGUGCUGUGAGCUCGAUGAGUAGGGCGGGACACGUGGUAUCCUGUCUGAAUAUGGGGGGACCAUCCUCCAAGGCUAAAUACUCCUGACUGACCGAUAGUGAACCAGUACCGUGAGGGAAAGGCGAAAAGAACCCCGGCGAGGGGAGUGAAAAAGAACCUGAAACCGUGUACGUACAAGCAGUGGGAGCCCCACCACUAAGCCAGUGGUGAACUCCACAUACGCAUCCUUUGCUGAGGAUACGGUUAACGGAGCGAAAGCGACGUUCAACCGCAAAAGAAGCAGAGGGGGCUUAGUGGUGGGGUGACUGCGUACCUUUUGUAUAAUGGGUCAGCGACUUAUAUUCUGUAGCAAGGUUAACCGAAUAGGGGAGCCGGAGGGAAACCGAGUCUUAACCGGGCGUUAAGUUGCAGGGUAUAGACCCGAAACCCGGUGAUCUAGCCAUGGGCAGGUUGAAGGUUGGGUAACACUAACUGGAGGACCGAACCGACUAAUGUUGAAAAAUUAGCGGAUGACCUGUGGCUGGGGGUGAAAGGCCAAUCAAACCGGGAGAUAGCUGGUUCUCCCCGAAAGCUAUUUAGGUAGCGCCUCGUGAAUUCAUCUCCGGGGGUAGAGCACUGUUUCGGCUAGGGGGCCAUCCCGGCUUACCAACCCGAUGCAAACUGCGAAUACCGGAGAAUGUUAUCACGGGAGACACACGGCGGGUGCUAACGUCCGUCGUGAAGAGGGAAACAACCCAGACCGCCAGCUAAGGUCCCAAAGUCAUGGUUAAGUGGGAAACGAUGUGGGAAGGCCCAGACAGCCAGGAUGUUGGCUUAGAAGCAGCCAUCAUUUAAAGAAAGCGUAAUAGCUCACUGGUCGAGUCGGCCUGCGCGGAAGAUGUAACGGGGCUAAACCAUGCACCGAAGCUGCGGCAGCGAACGUAUCACUUAAAGCGAUUCAGCGGG
rnacentral:rRNA from 1 species